rnacentral:tRNA from 1 species
GCUCGGGUGGCGAAAUGGCAGACGCGCCAGACUUAGGAUCUGGUGCCGCAAGGCGUGCGGGUUCGAGUCCCGCCCCGAGCA